UUUUUUUUCUUUUUAAUAGUAUGUCGCAGACCUUCAUGGCCUUGGGGUUGAGUACCUUCUAUAAAUUCGCGUCAACUUCUCUACUCCCUCUGAAUGCUGGUCUCGUCUGGUUACUGGUUCAUUCCCCACCCUCGUACUUAUUCAAUCUCAUAUCCCUUAUUACAGUUCAUACUCUCGUUAAUGGACUUGUACUGCUACUCAUAUUGAAGACUAACGCUACAAACGUAUACCGGCUUAGUUUACUUUGAUUUUACAUGAAUACAGACGCGAAAUAAUAAAAUAUCUUAAAAUCACAA